GUGGCCGCCGCCAGGGACAGUAGCGAGCCUAGGGUAGGAACCCUAAUCUGUGAAGAGCCACGGGCGUUAGAAAAGGAAGAUGGACGGGCGCUGCAGCCAGUCAUUUAUCUACUGAGGGCACAGGUUGUUCCUGGCCGGGACUAGGGGCGCGCAGAAAGUUCGAGGGGUCCUCAUGCGGGGAACGGAUGAGAAAAUCGAGGCCGAGCUGAAUUUCGUUCUUAAUUGCUCUGCGGAUUUCAUUUGGAGUAGUUGGUUGCGUUCGUGAAGAACGGGGGAGAUUCCGGGGAGUUGUUCGAGGUCCCCCGCUCGGCUGCUUUUCAAGUUGGGGCGAGAGCGGUGAGGCCGGGGCGCGGCGGCAGAGGGCGCCCGAGAGCGCGGGCCGGCUCCGGACGCCCCGGCGGCUCGCAAGUCCCUGGAACCCGGGUGUCAGCCCCUCGCCGCAGGUCCCACCGGGUGGCUUUAAUUCCCAUGAGGAAAGAAGAAAUUAAAGUAUGAAAAGAACAGAGAAUAAUGUAAUACCCACUGCUGCUUCUCACUGUUAUUUUUCUGGCAACCACCCUGGCUUCAUUUUUGAGCUGAAUUUUGGGCAAAACAACAACUCGAGUCAGGGCCAGAGUUUACGUCUAUUUGGAAAUUGGUUUCAAUUUGCAAGACCACGAAGCCUUUUCUGCAUUACCCUCUCCCCACUCUCAUCAGCCGGUGGCAUUUCGUCUGGUUUGCAUUAUUCUGUAUAUGUGCCUAGCUGUGUACUCUGCUGCCUCUGCUCACAGUGCCUUUCGUUCUGACUUGUCGAGGGAAUCUCAAGUGUGGAAUUUGCCGAAAGCUCCUUGUGAAGCUGGUAGGCGGGUGACCUGUUGCAGUAACGACAGCUCAGACCUCACUUAGUAUGUGCCAGCACUGCUUGACGACCUUCCGUGUAUUCAUUCUUUUCCUCCCCGCCACUGCACAGUGAAGUGCACUAUCGCUGUCCUCACUUUACACAUGAGGAAAUGGAAGCGUCGAGAGAUUAGGUAACUUGCCCGAAUUCACACAACUAGUAACUGGUGGAGCAGGGUUUGACCCCAGCCUGUAAAGUCCGUGCUUUUACCACUAAGUUGUCCUGCCCUGUAUCUAUAUAACUCCCUGUGUAUGUAAGGGCUUUGGGUUUGAGGGAGGCAGGAAGGGGCGGGAAGAGGGGUUUUGUGUGUUUGCAGGGGUGGUUAGGGAUGAAGUUGUAGAAGGAAUGAAAGAGCCCCUUUGUGGCAGGAAGAGUGAGGAUAAGAGGCUACGAGAGCUGCUCCGUGAAGGACUGUGAGGCAGGGCCCCAGCAGGGCUCUCCUGGGUCCCAGACUAGGUUGCCACCCAGUAUGCGGUGAGAGCCAUUCUUCACAGCUCCAGAAGGGCCACAGUGCUGUAAGCCACAGUGUAGCUUUUACGCCUGCCUGGCACUUAGGGGAACAGCAGCAGGCUCACGGCGGAUGGGGUGUCAUGGGCUGCUGGGCAGUGGCCAAGAGGCCAGAGCAAAACGCAGUGGGAGGCCACGUGCCUGAGCACAUGUCAGGUACACUGCUUAGGCAAUCCAGAAAUAACUGGGAGAGACUUCCAGGAAUGCAUCAGAAUUCCUGAACGAGUAGGCAAGGGCUCAGAGCUGCUGGCACUGAAGUAUAAAUGUCGUUGUGAUUUCAUUUGCCCUCAUUGCUGGUGAGGUCUAGGACAUUUGAGUUUUAUGUACGGUGGAAUUAUAUUUAUUGAAUGGAAAGAGUGACACAGUCUAGUGCUAAGUGACGGAAGUAGAUCACAAGCUGAACAGGGCAGGAGUCCCCUGCUGUCCAGGGACCUGGCUCUGAGUGCAAAGGGGAGAUCCAGCCAGCUUUCCUGCUGUGUUCAGGUGGCCAGCUCCCUGGGUUCCGUUCAUGACAGGGUCUAAGACAUGGUAUGGAAACCCACAGAACAGAAAACAGUCUUUGCAAUAUUGAAGUUCAUUUCUUAACCUGGAAAGGACUCUUUAAUUUUAUUAGGAAGACCAUGAAGGAGGGUAGGUAUGUCCCAGGCAGUUGGCCGCUUACAUCGGGAGCAGCUGCCCCAGGCCUUCACCGGAAGUUCAUCCGACGGCCAGCACUGUUAGCUGCCAGGCUGCGGCUGUUCUUCCUCUGUCUUACACAGAGAGCACUGCUGGGCAGCUGUGCGCUUCAGGGGAGGCAAGCCCCUCCACAGCCCUAAGGGGCUAAUCUUGGUUAGUCUGCACCAGACCCGUAAGAAAAAUCUCUUCCCUUUGCCGGGAAUUGUUCUAGGAAAAAGUCUGUGAUGCAAUUCUGCUAAGUUUGGGAAAGUUUUCUUGUUUUUAAAAACAACAGCCUCUCUUCUGGCUUUGGGACAUCAUGAAGAUGCGAUGCUUGAGACUGCUGCAGCCUUCUUGCAUCUGUGAGGCUUGCUUCAAAGCAAGAGCCGAAGGUCUGCGAUGGCAGAGCAGAAAGAAGAAAGAGCGAGUCCUUGAUGAUGCUUUUGAACCGAGGCCUAACCAGUCCUGAAGCUCCCCACCUUCAGACCUUUUGUUUUGAUUGGAAACACAUCUAUUUUUACAUUUUAAUAUUUCUGAAUGUGGGAUGCAUCUUCUGAGCAAUGGCAUCUUAGUUUCAGUGCAAUACAGAAUGUGACAUUUAAAAGAGAAAUCUCCUUCCUGUUUAAGCUUUCUUAAGUUGAAUGUUCUGUUAGAGUCAAAAUCAUCCUAAAUGAUAUGAUCGGUAUUUCGCGAAGCUUUUUUUUCCAUUACUAAUAAUUCCCUGGAAGAAUGGGCCAUGGCAAAAUAAAGAAAAUGAACUGAUGUGUGCAGGUUACCCUUCUCAAAAAAUAACAGCUAGUGUAUAUGAAAUAUUUACUCCUUUCCAGACACUUCUCUACACACCUCUUUUUUUAAACCACUUUAUUGAGGUCUGCUUGACAUACGAAAAGCUGUACAUUUUUACUGUAUAAAAUGUGAUGAGCCUAGGCCCCUUUUAUGUGCUAACUCACUUGAUUCUCACAAGAGCACUGUUACUAUCCCCCGUCUUUCAGCCAAAGCGCAGAACAGGGAAAGCAAUUAGCAAGUGGAAGCACUGAGAUCUGAACUCAGACAACCCAGUCUCCAAACCUCUGGUCUUAACCACUGUGCUGGGUUUCCUGAAAAAAUACACUAUGACAGUGGAACGUGUUUGGCUUAAUUUCAGUGAUUUUAAUUCAUCCAGCUAGGAAGCCCAUCAUGAAAGCACAGAGGAGUUUUCUUCUGUGAUUUCUCAGGACCAUGAAAAAGUGCCACAAGUCCCAUUUAGCAGAAAUCAGGAUCCUUGAAUGUGGCUUUAAUUCUCUCCAGGAGAAAUAUAACGAUGAGUACCCUCUUUAAUGAGAAUAGACGCCCUUGGGGUUGCAGUGGCUUCUUUCCUGGGUUUACCAGUAGCGCACAUUUCACUUGCCUGCUGUGCAGAGCUCUUGCCUCUCGUAAAAUUAUAUUACUUAAAAAUGGAUUUUAAAAACAUAAAAAUAAGUGAACUGGAAGAAUAUGUAACAUUCCAUUGACCUCUUCUGCUGUCUGGACGCAUCUCUGUUCUCAGAAGCCCCGCCUGCUCCCAACUGUUGCACACCUUUGCUCGUGUUGUUUGCUCUCUUCACCUUGAAAUUCCCUUCCCCUCGUCCUCUCCUCUGCUCAGCAAAUCCCAGCCCGCACUUCAGUCCCUUCUCUGCAAAGUCUAGCUGAGAUGCCAGAACAGUCCCUGGACUUUCUUCAGUGUGCCUGUGGCAGGCCGGUUUAGCACCUGCCCUGCAACAAGGCCGGCUCUGCUGAGUGGAGCUGAGUAACCUCGGGCAGCGAAUCUCUCUCUAAGCCUGAUUUCCUUAUCAGUAACCUGAGGGUGAUCAUGCAUGCAAAGCCCUUAGCAUGUGCCUGGCACAAGGGAAGCACUCAGUAAACGGGACUCUUGUUAUUUCAGCAUAUAGUCAUGCGCCGCAUAAUGACGUUUCAGUCAGCGUUGGGCGACAUCUACAACUGCGGUCCCAUAAGAGAAAGCACAGGAGACGGAGAACUGGAGAGGAUGGCCUUCCCGUGUUUCCGGACUUCUUCCUCCACCCCGUGCCUAGCAGUUCACCCCACCGCAAGGGGCAGGAGCACCCAAGGAACCGUAAAGUUGGAAUUUAUGACUGUGGAGUUGGCGAGCAGACGUUUCACCCCUACCAUCACCCUGGGCCCGCCCUCCAUGGCAGCCACCAUCAGCAGGAGGUGUUAAAUGGAGGUCCAGGCCCAUUUCACAUAGAGGAGAUGGACUGCCUGAAGUCAGGGACCUGUCAGUCCCACGUCAGCCACAAAUUGCAUGGAUGACCUUGAGCAAGGAAUUUACGUCUCCCUGCCCUGGCCGUUAACAAGAGAUAGAAGCAGUUGUCCUCCCAACCCUUCAAGGCUAUUGAGACUGGGGGUGAGUAAAGACGGGUCAAGUGUCAGAUCCCAACGAGAGAAGAGCCAGCCUGCACUGAGUGGUCACUCUGUGCCCACUGCUUCACACACACUCAGUUAAACCUCACAAAACCCUCGCAACCACUCUCUUAGGAAUCCCAGUUUCCACACAGGUAAAAAGUUACAUAAUUUGCCCCAAGUCUCUCAGUUAGUAAGAGGGGAGCCAGGAUUUAAACUCUGGCUGCCCAAAUCUAGAUCCAAACUCAACAGUGAGGACCACUUGGCAUUUGAGGGCCUCCUCUGUGGGAGGCCCAGGGAUGGUCAUUUAAAUAUGCCAGCCCAUUGCACUAGUAGUAGUAAUUAGGCACUUUUGUGACCAUCUCAGCUAGCCUAGAUGUGGAGGAAGGGCAUGACAGAAAUGCCUCUGUUCCCCCGCACACACCCAGGGCUUCCCCGUGGGACUUGUGACAUUCAGAACCUGGGGGAAUCCCUGGACUGAGAAAUCCGGGGCAGAGACAUAGAGAAAUCCUCAGGUUCUCUCAGCCUGCCAGUCUCCACAUAGCAAGGGGCACACAUGGCAGGCAAGUGCCCCACCCUGAGAGAUUCGUGGGGUGCACAGGAUGCAUGCAUGCUGACUCAGCCUUCUGAGCCCUGCGGGCAGACACCCUCCUUCCAGGGGUCCGAGCCGAGUGCGCCACACUCUUUGUUUCACUAGGAACUACGCUCUUUGCUUCACUAGGAGCUAGAGAAGCAGCGCCGGGGAGCUGGUAGACACUCCUGCAGGGGAGAAUGUCACUCUUCAGAUAGAGCUUCGGCACUAGCUGGGUCCAUAGGCAUAAAGGAACACUUCAAACAGUACGUUCUUAAUAAGCAUUUGUUUAUUUUUCAGUAUUUGAGGGGGGCAAAGGUGCCUCUAUCAUCAAAGGACACUGGUCACCCAGGGAAAGAAAAGUCUUUAAGUUCCCAAAACUUCACCCCUCGUAAAGGCCACAUGGCUUCCACCUAGGGAAGAGUUAACUUUCUGGCCACUGGAGACAGUGUCCUGCCCGCAGGGGCUGCCCAGCCAAUGGCGCUCAGUGCCGAUGAUGUCAUGCUUCUCCUGCGCCUCCUAUUGGGGCCUGGACAGCGAAUCCUGCUGGAGGCUCAGGCAGUGGAGCCGCUGAGGCUGGGCGGGGGCAGUGGGAGAGGGAGGGGGGAGGGAAGACGAGCAAGGCAACGCUGAGCUGCGUCUGCCUCAUCCCUCUCUCCACUGCCCCUGAGCCUUCCUUCUGACAGAAGGGACCCUGGGGACCACCCUGCACUCAGACAAGCAAGGCAGAGCAGCUUUGGUCCAGAGAGGCUGGGGGCUCCCAUUCCCAACUGAAGAAUACAUUCAGCAUGCCCACCAGGCAUACAGGGAACAGGGUAGCUGGGGCGAGGGCCAGCAUACACCCCUGCUCAUCACAGACAGGGUCAGGGGACAGCAGCACCUUCCUUGGCAGCACCCUCCCUCCUCCACCCCAGACUCCCCUCUUCCUUACCUGCCCGAGGACUGGAGGUCUGUUUCCGUGCUGCUGCCUGUAACUGCCCCAUCCACUCCGCUGGGCUCUCUGUGGGAGGGAAGAACAGGCAGGAAGCGCUGUGGGCAGCGCUCAGACCCCAGACCUCUUCUCCCGCUUUUCUGCAAGAUUUAGCCACACUGGGCUGUGGGACUGCAGGCUGCAGCCAGUGUCUUUAAAGAGCUCCAAGUUCCCCCUGCUCUGUGGGGGAGACCCUCAGGGAUUUCUUGCAAAUCCCUCCCAAGCCUCCCGGGAGGUCCAGGCAGCCCCUGGCCACCUUCAGCUCUGCUGUAGCCCAGCCCCGUGGUUCUCCCCGCACCCCAGCCCAUGGCCUAGUCAGUUUCUCACGGUUGGACCCGGUUGGCGAAUCGGCGGCGCCAGAGCAUGGCCAAGGUGCUAAGCAGGAAGAGGGUGGUGCACAUGGCUCAACCGCCCCAUCCCCUCCCGGGCCGAGUCUGCAGAGGAGGCCAAAAUGGCCCCGCCAGCUCUCCCAAGCCACCACUGUCUAUCCUGAGGUUCCUGCUGGCGCUGGAUUAGGAGGCUCAAGCUGAUUAGUGGGGUCAGCAGACCUGACCUUGUGAAGACUGAUUAACCUCACUGGGCCUGGGUUGUCCCCCUCUGUGGCAGGGUAAAUCGACCUCAAUCUAUGCUGGAUGUAGAUACGACCAAGACCUGAGUCGCCCUCAGGGGGCUUAGAGUGUAGACAAAUGCAUUGGCAACUUAAACGGAUGACCACAGUCGAGUGACUUAGGCAAUUACCGGCACCUGUAGAGCACUCUGGGCAUUGCAAGCAUCAGGGGAAGCUUCAAAGAGGAGAUGGGGGCACCUGAAAUUGCAGGUGCUCGAGGAAGGACGGGCCGUCAGAGGACUGCCAGGGCUGCAGAUGUGAAAACACAGGGCAUGUUCCAGCAACUGGAAGUUGAGUGGCAGCAGAGCAAUGAUGUCACGGGAGGCAUGGGGAGGGGAGGAGGACAGGGGAAGAAUAUUAGAUAAUGAAGCCAGAAAGACAGGGGAGGCCAGGGAGUGAAGGGCCAAUUAAGUGGUUCAGGUCUGCACUCUGGACAUUCCUCUCCAAACGUUUCUGAUUCCAUACCCUCUUCAGUAAAAGGCACUCAUGAAAUAGAUAUAUGCAUCCACUCACAAAUUAUGUAUUAUACUAAUGUGCAAAUACAGUCCUACACCAUAGACAUACGUAAACCUGGUAAAGGAUGACAAAGUAAACAGAAAUAAGAUUUCUCCUACUUUCUUUCCACAUCCCAGUGGACCUCUUGGGCACCCAAUUUGAAGGCCACUGCCACUGGCUUUGGGAAGCUAUCACAGGAGUUUUGUGAAGCAGCCCAGGAUGGUGUGCUCAGUCUUGGCCUAGGCAGCAAUGGCAGGGGGGACCAAAGUGAAGACGUGGGUCUGAGAGUGAUGUAAGAAACUGAACCCUUGCACUCUCCUCCAUCCCCGCUAAAGACCCCCAGGAGAAGGCAUUUGGUUUUUCUUCCCUCAGCUGAGAUGGAGGCAGUGUGAGAGGCCUCCUGCCCGGGAUUCCAGUAAGGUACCUGAACCCCGAGCUCCAGGGAGGGCCUGCACUGGGGCUGCGCUGGGGCUCUCUACUUUGAAAUAUGAUUUUUAAAAUAAACACAUAAACCAAAGCUGAAGAGGAGAGCCAACCUCUUGCAGUACUUAAGCAGUGGGACACAAAGUCUUGAGAAGGUCAGGGUCACCACGGAGUCUUAGAGAGAACUGGACGCACUCCACGCGUGCUGCUAUGCGUUUCAGAUGCUGCAGCCCUGGUCUGGCAUCAGGCUUCGACUGGGAGUCAGAGGUGGCACCUGGCUUUCCCAGUACUGAGUAGCUGCUGGCAGAGUGGGGCCCCUGUGGCUCUCAGAGGUAUAGUCCCCACCUCUGGUCCAACGGCACUCACACCUCCCUGAGCAGGGCCACUAGGACAAGAAUUUGUCUCCUCCAUCCACAGCACCCCUCCCUAAUCCGGGCCUUGGUGAUUGAGAUGUCUCCAGCGGCCUGGGUCUCCCCAAGACUUCUUUACCUUCCCAGGUCCCCUUUGCCCUGCCCGGCUGCCUCCUUUGGACUUUUUCUCCACCAGGGCUGGAAUUCGGGGCAGUGCUUGUUUUUUGCCGGCCUGUGUCGUUAAUAAGCCCCCAGGGACUUCUUUCCGACGCCAUGUGAGUGCACCGAGUUGCGGGGGGGGGGGGGGGGGUGCUGGCCGGAAGGAAAGCGGGGCUCAGGCCUCUGGCGCUCAAGUUCUGCUCCCCCCGUCCUCUCAGCGGUGGGUUCUAGUAAGGUACUGCAGCAGGCAACUCGAGCAGGGAGACGACCCCAGCCUUAAACCCUCCAGAGCCUGGGGUCCAGAACUCUGGGAGCGGCGCCGCGGCCCCCAGCGGCUGGCUGGGGGAGGCCUGGAGCGGGCGGGAGCUCCGUUCUCACCGCGGCGCCGCUGGAGGGGCUCGCGUCCGCCCCCUCGGGCGGGCGGCCACGCCGCAGCUGUCUGGGAGUGUUUGACUUUGAGUCAGUUCCCCGCCGCGUGAAGGGUGCACACACGCACCCGCCCCGGCACCGCCCGCAGCGUGAGCCGGGACACGGUGCCCCCAGACCCGCACGCGCCGGGGCGCACUCCUGUGCGGCGCGCGCCACCCCGCCCCGGGUGACUGCCCCCUCCUCCCGAGACCCCCCAGCACACCCGCCACACCUACACCCCAGCCCCGCCCGGCGGUCAAACUCCGCGGUGGCCUUGCGGGUGGGCGGGAGCCAGCCGCGUCCGUCCCCCCCCCCCCCCCCCCAGCCUUCACCUUGCCAGAAUUGGCUCACGGACACGGGGUUGGGGGUUUGGAGCCGAUUUAUUUUUUUUUUACAUUUUUCCAG